rnacentral:rRNA from 1 species
UGGGGAAUUUUGGACAAUGGGGGAAACCCUGAUCCAGCCAUCCCGCGUGUGCGAUGAAGGCCUUCGGGUUGUAAAGCACUUUUGGCAGGAAAGAAACGUCGCGGGUUAAUACCCCGCGAAACUGACGGUACCUGCAGAAUAAGCACCGGCUAACUACGUGCCAGCAGCCGCGGUAAUACGUAGGGUGCAAGCGUUAAUCGGAAUUACUGGGCGUAAAGCGUGCGCAGGCGGUUCGGAAAGAAAGAUGUGAAAUCCCAGAGCUUAACUUUGGAACUGCAUUUUUAACUACCGGGCUAGAGUGUGUCAGAGGGAGGUGGAAUUCCGCGUGUAGCAGUGAAAUGCGUAGAUAUGCGGAGGAACACCGAUGGCGAAGGCAGCCUCCUGGGAUAACACUGACGCUCAUGCACGAAAGCGUGGGGAGCAAACAGGAUUAGAUACCCUGGUAGUCCACGCCCUAAACGAUGUCAACUAGUUGUUGGGGAUUCAUUUCCUUAGUAACGUAGCUAACGCGUGAAGUUGACCGCCUGGGGAGUACGGUCGCAAGAUU